rnacentral:rRNA from 1 species
UACGGAGGGAGCUAGCGUUGUUCGGAAUUACUGGGCGUAAAGCGCACGUAGGCGGCUUUUUAAGUCAGGGGUGAAAUCCCGGGGCUCAACCCCGGAACUGCCCUUGAAACUGGAGAGCUAGAAUCUUGGAGAGGCGAGUGGAAUUCCGAGUGUAGAGGUGAAAUUCGUAGAUAUUCGGAAGAACACCAGUGGCGAAGGCGACACACUGGCCCGUAACUGACGCUGAGGCGCGAAAGCGUGGGGAGCAAACAGG